AUGCCCGCCCCCUUGGCAGUUGGUCAUGUGACACAGUUCCCACCAAUGAAACGAGAGCUGCGGUUCUGUGCGGCAUUCUGGGAAAGCUCCCGGAAGGGCGGGUGGCUGGCCUCGCGUGGGCCACCCGCUGUCCAUCGUGAAAGGGGACGCGAGGCCAGGAAGCUGCGCUGUGAGCACAGGGCACGCCUCACCGAGGGCGCCGAGAGAGGUGGAGGAGGAGGCCGGGCCCGCGGGCGUCUUGGAGCUGCUGGGCCUGCACCGGCCCGCCGGACACCUCGGUGGGUGAGAAGAAUAAACCCGACGCCCUUCCUGGAUUUUCCACGAUGCCGGGAGAGACUGGACCCAGGAGGUAAACACAUGAGACCUGCCUCUGAUCGCUGACGGGCUCAGGCCUCCCUGGGAUGCUGAUGGGCCCCACUGCGGCCCCUGCAGUGACACGCCAUGAACCUCUGUCGGGCUGAACAGCGCCCAAACCUGGCGCCUCCCGGUCCCAGCAGAGCUGGGCCCGGUGGUCCCUCCCAACCGUCAGUUCGUGGGCUCAGAGACACGCUCUGCUGUGUGACCACACUGCCCCUCACUGGAGGUGGGGCUGAAGUCACCAACCUCUGAAUCCCACCUUCCUCGCCCGUCAAAGGGCAGUGAUGCUUCACUUCCGUGGCACUCAGCUUCCCUCAAAGAGCUGGAGAACGAAGUUCCAUUAUUUUGAGCUCAGUGAGGACACAGCCCUUUUGCUGCUGUCUCCCCUGCACCCCACAAGUCAUAAAAGGACAUGAAAUGUUUGUGUGAACCGGUCCACUGCCUUUGUGCUCCUGUGCCCUCCCCUCACUGGGUUCCCGUGGGAACCCAGCAAGACCACCCCGCUCUGCUCCUUAGUCACCCCCCAGACUGGGGGUGACCCGAGGAUGGGGAGAACGGUGCGAGUUCCUUCUGGGAAAUCAGGGGGAGCUGGGUCACCUCAAAGUCCCCCCAGCUCCCAGAAGCCACAAUUCUCCUCUUUCUUCCAGCCAGGGCCCUUUCCCUUCACAGAGGCCUUGGAGACAGCUGGGGGAGGUGGCACCUUGUUACAAGCCCGAGGACACAUGACCAACAAGGGCAGGGCAGGUGCCCGAACCAAGGCCUCCUGACUCCCAGUCCAGGGCUUGGUGGUCCUCCAGGCCCGGGGAAAGCCAGCCAUGAGGGUUUCCUGCCCUCCAGCAGCCUGGGAAGGUGAGGGGGUGCACCUGUGCCUGAGGGCCUGAGCUCCCCCACCUCCCGUCCUCACGUGGAGACGUGAACUGGGAAUGCUGGGC
rnacentral:lncRNA from 1 species